rnacentral:misc_RNA from 1 species
AACGCACAUUGCACCCGGUGGUAUUCUGCCGGGUAUGCCUGUUCGAGCGUCAUUUCUACCCUCAGGCCUUGCUGCUUAGGCGGCGUAGGUACUGGUGUUGGGAACUUGCAGCGUUGGUUGGAUAUCUUCCAGCCGCUGUAGUCCCUAAUUUCAUCGGCGUACUCGUGUACGUUUGCCCCCUGCGUAGUGGUUUUUCUUUCUCGCAUCGGGCCGUGCCGCCGUACCGCCGCACAAUCUUUUACAAUUAUGAGUUUGACCUCGAAUCAGGUAGGGUUACCCGCUGAACUUAA